rnacentral:rRNA from 1 species
CAAUCCCUACGGGGCGCAGCAGUAGGGAAUUUUCGUCAAUGGGCGCAAGCCUGAACGAGCAAUGCCGCGUGAACGAGGAAGGUCUUCGGAUCGUAAAGUUCUGUUGAAGGGGAAAAAGAGCGGAGAGAGGAAAUGGUCUCCGAUUGAUAUUACCCUUCGAGGAAGUCACGGCUAACUACGUGCCAGCAGCCGCGGUAAUACGUAGGUGGCGAGCGUUAUCCGGAAUGAUUGGGCGUAAAGGGUGCGUAGGCGGACUGUUAAGUCAGCGGUAAAAGCCCGGGGCUCAACCCCGGCGAGCCGUUGAA